rnacentral:rRNA from 1 species
AUGAACGCUGGCGGCGUGCCUAAUACAUGCAAGUCGAGCGAACAGACGAGGAGCUUGCUCCUCUGACGUUAGCGGCGGACGGGUGAGUAACACGUGGAUAACCUACCUAUAAGACUGGGAUAACUUCGGGAAACCGGAGCUAAUACCGGAUAAUAUAUUGAACCGCAUGGUUCAAUAGUGAAAGACGGUUUUGCUGUAACUUAUAGAUGGAUCCGCGCCGCAUUAGCUAGUUGGUAAGGUAACGGCUUACCAAGGCAACGAUGCGUAGCCGACCUGAGAGGGUGAUCGGCCACACUGGAACUGAGACACGGUCCAGACUCCUACGGGAGGCAGCAGUAGGGAAUCUUCCGCAAUGGGCGAAAGCCUGACGGAGCAACGCCGCGUGAGUGAUGAAGGUCUUCGGAUCGUAAAACUCUGUUAUUAGGGAAGAACAAAUGUGUAAGUAACUAUGCACGUCUUGACGGUACCUAAUCAGAAAGCCACGGCUAACUACGUG